CACGGGGGGAGCAAACGUUGUUCGGAAUCACUGGGCGUAAAGGGCGCGUAGGCGGCCUCGUAAGUGGUGUGUGAAAUCUCCUGGCUCAACCAGGGAAUUGCGCUCCAAACUGCGAGGCUUGAGGGCAGUAGAGGAAGCUGGAAUUCCAGGUGUAGCGGUGAAAUGCGUAGAUAUCAGGAGGAACACCGGUGGCGAAGGCGGGUCUCUGGGCCGAUACUGACGCUGAGGAGCGAAAGCGUGGGGAACAAACAGG
rnacentral:rRNA from 1 species